rnacentral:rRNA from 1 species
AUUGAACGCUGGCGGCAGGCCUAUCACAUGCAAGUCGAGCGAGCGGCGGACGGGUGUGUAAUGUAUGGGGACUGCCCGAUAGAGGGGGAUAACUCCUGGAAACGGUAGCUAAUACCGCAUACUAUCGGCUAACCCAUAUGGGAUUUGCUAGUAGGUUAGGUAAUGGCUCACCUAGCCGACGAUCCCCAGCGUGUCUGGGAGGAUGAGAAUGCACACUAGGACUGGAAACCGGCCCAGACUCCUACGGAGGCAGCGGUGGGGAAUAUUGCACAAUGGGCGGAAGCCUAGUGCAGCCAAGCCGCGUGUAUGAAGAAGGCCCUAGGGUUGUAAAGUACUGUCAGUCGGAGGGCGUUACCGACAGAAGAAGCACCGGCUAACUCCGUGCCAGCAGCCGCGGUAAUAC